rnacentral:rRNA from 1 species
GGGUUGUGAGGUUAAGCGACUAAGCGUACACGGUGGAUGCCCUGGCAGUCAGAGGCGAUGAAGGACGUGCUAAUCUGCGAUAAGCGUCGGUAAGGUGAUAUGAACCGUUAUAACCGGCGAUUUCCGAAUGGGGAAACCCAGUGUGAUUCGUCACACUAUCAUUACGUGAAUACAUAGCGUAAUGAAGCGAACCGGGGGAACUGAAACAUCUAAGUACCCCGAGGAAAAGAAAUCAACCGAGAUUCCCCCAGUAGCGGCGAGCGAACGGGGAGCAGCCCAGAGUCUGAAUCAGCUUGUGUGUUAGUGGAACGGUCUGGAAAGUCCGACGGUACAGGGUGAUAGUCCCGUACACCAAAAUGCACAGGUUGUGAACUCGAAGAGUAGGGCGGGACACGUGGUAUCCUGUCUGAAUAUGGGGGGACCAUCCUCCAAGGCUAAAUACUCCUGACUGACCGAUAGUGAACCAGUACCGUGAGGGAAAGGCGAAAAGAACCCCGGCGAGGGGAGUGAAAAAGAACCUGAAACCGUGUACGUACAAGCAGUGGGAGCACCUUCGGGUGUGACUGCGUACCUUUUGUAUAAUGGGUCAGCGACUUAUAUUCUGUAGCAAGGUUAACCGAAUAGGGGAGCCGGAGGGAAACCGAGUCUUAACCGGGCGUUAAGUUGCAGGGUAUAGACCCGAAACCCGGUGAUCUAGCCAUGGGCAGGUUGAAGGUUGGGUAACACUAACUGGAGGACCGAACCGACUAAUGUUGAAAAAUUAGCGGAUGACCUGUGGCUGGGGGUGAAAGGCCAAUCAAACCGGGAGAUAGCUGGUUCUCCCCGAAAGCUAUUUAGGUAGCGCCUCGUGAAUUCAUCUCCGGGGGUAGAGCACUGUUUCGGCUAGGGGGUCAUCCCGACUUACCAACCCGAUGCAAACUGCGAAUACCGAAGAAUGUUAUCACGGGAGACACACGGCGGGUGCUAACGUCCGUCGUGAAGAGGGAAACAACCCAGACCGCCAGCUAAGGUCCCAAAGUCACAGUUAAGUGGGAAACGAUGUGGGAAGGCUCAGACAGCCAGGAUGUUGGCUUAGAAGCAGCCAUCAUUUAAAGAAAGCGUAAUAGCUCACUGGUCGAGUCGGCCUGCGCGGAAGAUGUAACGGGGCUAAACUGUGCACCGAAGCUGCGGCAGCGACACUCUGUGUUGUUGGGUAGGGGAGCGUUCUGUAAGCCUGCGAAGGUGUCUCGUGAGGGAUGCUGGAGGUAUCAGAAGUGCGAAUGCUGACAUAAGUAACGAUAAUGCGGGUGAAAAACCCGCACGCCGGAAGACCAAGGGUUCCUGUCCAACGUUAAUCGGGGCAGGGUGAGUCGACCCCUAAGGCGAGGCCGAAAGGCGUAGUCGAUGGGAAACAGGUUAAUAUUCCUGUACUUGGUGUUACUGCGAAGGGGGGACGGAGAAGGCUAUGUU